UACCAUAGGCGUUGCACCCCCUCCCCUCCUUCCUGCUCGGGCGGAUAGCCGCCGGCCGCCGCAUCCCUUCUCCCCCUUCCUCCUCCUUCCUCCUUCCCGCUGGCGCCCAUCGCCCUCGUCCUCGGACAAGGGGCCUUCCACAGGGAUGGCCACGUCUUCAAACCAGGGGUAGAGGAGCAGGAGAGGGCCAAGAAGCCGACAUUGGGGGUGGAGCAGCCAGGCCAAGGAGGACCCAGGUGGUGGACGCGUCAUGGGGUUAAGGACAGGCCGAUGAUAUGGAUAAGUAGGAGGAGUGCCAUGGAUCUGCAGGGAAGGGAGGGCGACGCCCUCGGCGGGCGUCCGAGCAGGAAGCCGGCAGGGAGCACGUCAUUGUAGGCGUCAAGGGAGCCAUGGACAAGCCGCCAGGAGGAGAAAGCUCCCAGUUUGUGGAGGAGACUAUGUGACAGGUGGUGUUUUGGAAUCUAGAUUGAUUUGGUAUUGUAUGUUGUGUGAUGUGCCCUUGCCAAGAAUAUUUGAUGUGUGUGAUGACACGAGCAAUUGUAGAGGAGUGAACACCAUGCUCGAUUAGUGGACUGCCGCUUGAGAAGAAGCUUGUCAUUUGUCUCUUCGAGCCGCGGCGGAUAGGGGCCUUCAAAGAACUUGGGGGUUGACAUAGCCAUCGAGGAAGUGCAGGAUACAAACCAAGUGUAAUCAAAAGAGGAUAUGGAUUCAGUACGGCCAUGAGUGAAGGAAUGUUACUCCAAUUUGGAUCUUGGAGAAUGUUUUCUCAGUGUGGUUCAGGUUAAAUUGUUGUCCUACUGUUCCUGCUCAGCCUCCUAAUGUUCUAUGUCUUCGCCGUGCCUUCUUCCAGCUUCUCUAUUGGUUUUCUCUUCACACCGAUGUUUGAAUCUCAUGUGACUCCUGCGCCCAGCCACCAUCUCCUCCCUAGCUAAGCAAGAGGUUCAAAGGCCACCGCUACCUCUUCCUUGCCGCCCAGCAGGAGGGGCACUAGGCAAAUUACAUAUCAGGAGAGCCAUUUAUUAGAGGAUCUUCUAAAAGGCUUUUUACAUUUGGUUCCUGAUGUUCUCCUUCUCGGGGUUUGCUCACUUCCUUUCUAGCUAGAAAUACCAUAUUUUCCUCUCUGCGUGUACUGUCUUGUUGUUUGGUUCGCUGCUCGUCUUAAUAUUCCGGAUUUAGCGGGGCAUCAUGUUUUGUUCAGCCUCAUGCUCCUAAGUGUAUCUCACAUUGUAUAGGAACCUGUCCUGCGGGGACCUUGCCUUUUAUGCUUCUUCUUGAUAAUAGAAGUAUUGAAUAUACCUGUUUCUUCUGCUCAAACAUUUUGGCUAAGUGGCAAUAUUCCAAAUAAAUGGAUGUAUCUCGAACAAAGGAGAUGUCUGAUGUAGUGAGUCGAAGUCGCUUAAUCAAGGAGAAAUUAGGAUUGUGACGCAAUUAUAUGGUUAGCAGGAAAGUUUAAACCUGAAAAUCAGACGAAACUCUGGCAAUAUUACGUUCUAUAAACGAUUUGGCAAUUGCAUUCACUAUCAGGUUGUGUUUAUAAUUUUGUACUUGACAGAUGUAGCUUUGAACCUACAUAGUGUUGGCAGUUGCUUGAUGAAGCCAAACUUACAACUCGAUAUUUUUAAUUUAUGCUGCAACUUGAUUAGGAAUUUCCUAUGUUAAGUUGGAACCACACAAAUUCUUAUCACGUCAUGGCUUGCUUGGGAUUCAAUUGCAGGAAGAAACUGUAUUGAACUUGCUUAAUUUUUCUUCAGAAAUAGUAUUGAAUCGGCUACUUGUUGGCAAUUUCAUAUUACAAAGUCGUCAUUAAGCGAAGAGAUAGGGUAUUGAUUUGGCUAACUCACGAAACUAAACACUCAAUUCGAGAAAUUUCAUUGGGAAUUUAUAUCCGUAUGAUUGAUUUUGUAAUGGGGAAUGGUGA